CGAACGGUUCGGGGCGAAAUUACACAAAUGUCACAUUUUUGAAAAUGUGUUUCUUAAGGGAAAACGUACAGGCCGCAUUUUGCACAUUUUGCAAAAAAUGUGACAUUUUCAAAAAUGUGUAAGAAAUGUGAUAUUGCAUCAGAUACGAAGCAUUUCACGAGCAAUGCUGACCAGCUCGUCCUGGUGGAACGCUGAAGCAAUUCGAUAGAGGAUGAUCGACAAUGCUGUAUCUACUGACUGAUAUUUCAGGGUCAUAAAUAAACAUGUAAUUUUCAUCAUACUCCGAAAUAUCUGCAAAAUGUAAUACGCAUAUCAAUUUAAUAAGUCAACCCUUUCUGAUUACAACUUACUAUUUUAUGAAAUGAACCCAUGUAGAUGGAGCUUUUCACUCGGUCCAAUUUUAUGUUAACUUUUUGUUGUCUGAAAUAUAUAACAUUUUAAUUUGUUCACGCUACGAAAAAUCUUACUUAUAUUUCUUGGUUCCCCAAUUUGAUUCAUCUGCAUGUCUCCAUAUCUCCGCGUACCUCGCAAGACGCCAAUAUUUUCUUGCCGUAUAUCUAUUGGGAAGUUUUCGCUGUCGACACUCCAAGAUAGACGGCUUUAUGUGUUAUUUUUGACUUCUACAAAAACCUUUCUGAAAUAAAUUGAGAAACAUAUUAUAUGAUCAUCCUACUUGCGCGCGUCAGACAUUUUAAAUAAACUUGUCAAAUUUUAAUUGAGAUCGGUUAUGUAUGAAAAAAUAUUGGAUAAGAACAUGUUUAUAAGCUGAACCCAUAAUGGUGAAAAGGGUAUAAUGUAUUUGUGUAAUGUAUCGAAAUGCUGUUUUUUAAGAAAAUAUCGUAAAUUAUGUUAAGGAAUUGUUUUUUCCCUUUUGGCCGCGCCGGCUGGCUCAUCGGCUCUCUAGGGGUAGUUCCAUCCCUGGCCCGCAGUCCGCACAAUCCAUUUUUCUCUCUUCAAUAUAGCAUACAUAUAUCGGGCAAAUAACAAAACAGGAACCGGACGAAAUAACACUGCCAGAAGCGGUGGCCAAACGCCAUCAAAACAAAACGAAUAAAUGUAGGUUUAAAUAGUUUUUUUUUGCGCCAAUGGGGAACAAAGGACCCACAUAAAUAAAUAUAUACAUAUACGUGCCAAAAUGAUUAUAUAAAUGGCGGGAAAAUAUACCUGCGAAAGUGUACAAGUAUAAUUGCAGCUUGUUUAAUUGUUGUCCUAAGGAGCACUUCUUGGUUUGACAUUCAUGCCGCUCUGUACACUGCACUGCUAUACACUUGAGUACCCUUUAAAUUACAAAAUAAAUAAAUAAAUAAGUGCAAUUUAAAAUAAAUAAAAAAAAAUAUUUUUAUUCAUAUUAGAAAAAGAAAAUAAUAAACGGACCAGCAGCGAAAAAAAAAAAUAGUUUUAAUGGCGGCCAGGGUGAAUGCCAGGCAUACCUCGACAAAGAGAAGUGGGCGGCCGAUAUAAAAGAUAACUUUACAAAUAAAUUAUAAAUAUUUCGUUUAUUAAUAUUAACUUAAUUUACCAUUUCUAGAAACGCUGAAAGAGGUGCUUUCCAUUAUAAUUUAAAUGUUUUUUAAAUUGUGUAUUUUACUUUUUAGUAAAUUUGAAGCAAGAGCUGUCCCUUCUAACCGGUAGUAGUCACAUUUACCCAAUCUAAUAAUUUCAAUUUUUAAUUAAAAAAUGUCAGCUCAAAAUCAGCUUUUGCUUGGUGAAAUGGCCGAGCAAAAAGUUUUAAUCCAGCUGCUGUAGGGAAAAAAUAGCCAAAGCAAUCUGCCAGCCAAGUUCCCCCUAAAGUAGAAGGAAGAAUUGGAGAUGCUGAAUGUGGACAUUGCGAAGGGGGAUCGCGACGCAUAUAUCAAAACGAUGAGCCUACUUUGAUUGCCCUCUGGAGUGGCCAAAAUUUUAUAAAUAUUGUGACCGAUGAGGUUGCAAUGAAAUAUAACAUUGAUGGUAUUUUAGGCAAGCUUCGGCUUAAAACAGACAAACACUUUUAUCAUGCGCUAAUUUAGUCCAUUCCAAAGGGAGCUGGUGCUGGGUGUCCAGAACACCAGCUCAGAAAAGCUAUGCAGGUAUUUCGCUAGGUCAACGUCAUGCAACGUCGUACCGCUCGGUACGGGGCAAUGACAUCCCCAUGUUAAAUUCGUUAGUCUAACGAAUUGGUGUUUCCACGUUUUAAAAACAGGACCCAUCCUAAAGAGGCAGCAAAAUAGUUAACGGUGCACCGGUGGACCCAAACUACAGUGAAGGCAUAUUUUUAUUUUUUUCACUCGCCUUCGACCGCUGACCAGAUCGAAUUCCUCACGCUCGGCACACGCACACACAUUCAAAAAAUGGUCACCGUUUCUGCCCAUAUGCACAGAUGCAAAUUCUAGGUCAAUGGCCCAGAUGAAGUCGGAUUGCCCUCCUCCCAUUCUCUCUCUGAGCGAUUCGGGCGGCCAGUCGCAGUCGCUCUUCCGCAUUUCCCCGCUUAGCGCAGUGGAUCGGGCGUUGCCACCCUCACGCUAUUUGGGCGCUCCUCUGCACUCGAGCUUACCCCCCACUACCCUGAACAUUGAUGAAAAAUUGAUAUAGACGCUGCCGAUAAUAUCUAAUGCAACAACACCACGCAGAUUGUUUUAAAGACAUGCCGAUAAUGUUAAAUGCAACAGCACCACGCACAUUAUUGUAAAGACAUAGACAAAACAAUUACAAAUAAUUUGCUUGUGCAUCUCCAAUUGGCCCUCCCAGCCGGCUACUAACGAACGCCCAACGUAGGCCACACCCACGACGAAAACCCCAGUCGCAACACUGACUGGGCACUGCUGCCGCCAACGCCUGGCGAGGUGGUGAGCAAACUAAGUUUAUAGCCGUUAAUCUUUUACGUGAAAGAGGCCUAACACACUUCCCUGAAGAUCUUCGAACUCGUAUGCGUUGGUACCCAAUUCGCUCGUACGCGGUGUGCAGAUACGGGGGAGUCACCCCGUAGCGCUGUGUACCGCAUUCCGAAUCGCCACCUCUUCCUCAAGAAGGUACGCAUCCCAUUCCCUAUGGUCCUGAUCAAAAUAUGUUCUGAUCGCCAACAGAACCGUUCGGUUCACGUGGUUAGCGGCGUUACUUUGAGGUGAAUAUAUGGCUGUGCGACAAUGCGUAAUGCCAAAUGCCUGGACCAUUGCCUCAAACGACUUGGAAAUAAACUGCCGCCCAUUAUCCGUAUAGAUGACCUCAUGCACACCAAAUUUGAAAAACACUUCGUGUACUAGGAAGUUGACAACUUCUGCUGCGGUGGCUUUCCUUCAGGAAUGUGAACUUUGAAAGUGUCGUCUACGACGACGAAUAUCCACGCAUGCCCUCGUGUUGGCGGUAGAUAUUUCCGCAAGAGUUCGAUGUUGAUCUUCGGAAAGGGGCGAUCGGCGCGAACUUCUUCCCCAAUUCCGACCUGCAUCCUGCAAUUUUCUGCCUUGGUCUCGUUACAGGUGUCGCAUUUCCGCACAUUGUCUCUGACUUGUAUCGCCAUGUUGGGCCGAUAAUAUCGCCUGCGCAGCGCCUUGCAUAUGCCUUCAUGAGCUGAUAUCUCGUCCGCAUGUGCUCGUUGGAUGAGUGCUCAAUUCCACCUUUUCCACGCUUCGGGAUAACGUGUCGGCGACGACGUAAUCGGCUUCCUUCCGCUAUCGCACCGAAAAGGGGAACGCUUGCAGCUCCAGUAACCACCUGGUCUAUCUCCCGCUUAAGCCAUUGAGGCUCAUAAGUCACUGCAGGCUCGCGUGGUCGGGGAUUACCGUGAACUGCAUCAUCGCUGUAUGGCCAGUUUGGCUGCUAGGCACUCCUGGUGUUUGUUGAGCUUCACCGAAAAGAAUGCGAUAGGCUUCUCCAGCUGCUCGUCAUCCAGCUGGAAUAACACAGCUCCCACACCGAAGUGAGAUGCGUCGCACUGGAUAAAAAAAUGUCUUUUAUACUAUAAGUAUAUGUACAAAUACAAGUACAAAUAAAAACGAGAGAGACGGGCUAUCUUCGGCUCGUCGAAGACCUUAUCUUUUCAUAAUGCUCAUA